CCUGCCAUCUGCUGCACUUUGCGAGAAUGUGAAAACUAAAUCAAUCGGAUAAAAGUUAUUUUCAUGGAAAUAAAAGCUCCAAGUGCAGUAUUGUCAGGAUCAUGGGGUAUGGGCAAAUUCUCCACCGACGGGGGAAUGAGGAGGACCAGGUGCACCUCAACGUGGGAGGGGUUCGACACGAAGUAGAUCCGAGCAUGCUGCUCCGCUUCCCUCUCACACGCCUAGCCCGUCUGCUGUGCUGCCAAAGCGAGGCGACGAUCUUGGAACUGUGUGACGACUACAGCCCGUCCGAGAAGGAGUACUACUUCGACAGGAAUCCACAUGUUUUCCUCUGCGUGCUCAACUUCUACCACACAGGACGCAUCCACAUGAUGGAGGAGGUGUGCGUCUUCUCCUUCAGCCAGGAGAUCGAGUACUGGGGAAUCCAGGAGCUCCACAUAAGCCCCUGCUGUAGCUACUGGUACCACGAGAGGAAGGAUUACAUUGAUGACAGAGACUGGGACGUGAUGAGCGACGACCAGCAACAGCCGAGUUUUGAGUCCUCCUUUGAGGAGCUCUCUGCUAUCGAUAAAGACCUGGCCAAGUUCAAAGGUGCCUGGUGUGCAGAAGUGAGAAGCUACAUUUGGCUCAGGCUGGAGGAUCCAGGUCACUCAAGAGGUUCAAAGAUCAUCGCCGUGGCCUCUCUCAGCUUGGUGCUGACCUCUAUAGUUGCCAUGUGUGUCCAUAGCAUGCCUGAGUUUCAGCAGGUUGACGACAAUGACAAACCCAUCGAGGACCCUGUUCUCGCCAUCCUGGAAGAGAUCUGCAUUGCCGGCUUCUCCGCCGAGUUCAUCAUCAGGCUGAUUGUUGCACCCUCUUGCAGGAAGUUCCUCGGAAACACCUUAAACAUCAUCGAUGUUGCCUCCAUUUUACCAUUUUACGCCACUUUAGCUCUGGAAACGGCCGACGAGGAGGCUGCAGAGGAGAAUGAGGACUUAGAAAAUGUGGCGAAGGUGGUGCAAGUUCUGCGCCUCAUGAGGAUUCUCCGGAUCCUCAAACUGGCCCGCCACUCCAUCGGGCUGCGAGCGCUGGGUGCCACUGUACGCCACAGCUACGAAGAGGUGGGUCUGCUCCUUCUCUUCCUCUCUGUGGGGAUCUCCAUCUUCUCUGCCCUCAUCUACUUUGCAGAGAAGGAGGAGCCGGACACCGAUUUGGGGACCAUCCCUUCAGGCUGGUGGUGGGCCACAAUCACCAUGACCACAGUCGGUUAUGGUGACACCUGCCCGGUGACGCUGGCAGGCAAGAUAGUGGCCACCUUGUGUAUUGUCUGUGGGCUUUUAGUGGUGGCUCUGCCCAUCACCAUCAUUUUCAAUAAGUUUUCAAAGUACUAUCAAAGAAACAAAGCCUUGGAGGCACAGUGUAUCACUAAGCCUGAAAGACCAGACCCAAAGCUCCCUCACUAUAACUUCAGAGGCCUGUUCACAGGAAGUGUGUAUCCCUCAAUUGGAGGUGGCACCUUCAGGAACAGUGUGAGCAGCACAGGUGACACUACAGAUGCCUCUAGUCUCCAGGAUUUAGAGGUGUAUGAUAAUGACACUUGGGGAAAUGGGUUAGCGAAAUGAAGUUCUGCCAUUUCACAGUGUUGCUCCCUUUAUGACUGCAAGUCACUCUUGUGCCUCUGAGCGUUGCUCCGUCGCUGACCUCCUCCCCCACCCACCCCUCUCCGCAUUGUCUGCCCCAUGCAAUUUGACAGAACAAUGUUAUGGGAAGAGCUUGUAAAAUGUACAGCACAGCUAAAACCAGGAAAUCUAAAGGGAAUUAUUAUUGGGGAGGUUUGAAAGCCCAUUUUCUGCUUGAGAAAACGGCAAUGAUGCAUGUAGGAGGCCAUAAUGUUAAUGUUUUCUCAAAGUAAUGUCCUGUAUUGAUUUGUCUGCUCGCUGAAAGUUCAGACAGAGAAUUUUGCCGAAAGCCUAGAAAGACAACAACACUGUUUGAUGUUUCAAAAUGGUAUUAUAGACCUAUGCAUGAACAUAAAGUAAUACAUUUUGAAAGAGUAAUGUAUAGAUGUGUAUUAUGCAAUAUUAUCGAUGGUGCAGAGAAGAAAACACAGUUCUCUCAGAGCACCGAUAUACCAGGGUAAUGUUAUUUCACGUUUUGGCAUGCAUGGUGACUGCUGAAGGGUACAACCAGUGAACCUGAAAUAAAACUCAUGCAACAUGCCUCUCAUUUGUGAUACGGCAGACAUUGCACUAAUCACCCGUUAAGUAAAGGUUUUCAGCUCUAGUUUAUUGCAUUAUUUAUUGUCAUAUGUUUGUCACUAAAAUUACUCCAAAAUAUUGAUAUAAAUCAUCAACAAUGCACUGGAACUGUAGUGGAAAGUUUCUGUCCCUCAUCCCUCUUCUGUCCCUGAAAGCAUUGAUUUCCUGUCUCCUGUUAUAAUCUCCGGUUGGAUGAGCAGCUGUCCCAGAGCGAGAGAUGUAAAAGGUUUAUUGCUGUGAGGCCGGAUGGACGUCGUGAGUGUUCAUAUCCAUAAUCGUGUAUUACUCUGACAGAGGUUGAGUUGGGCCACACAUAAAUCUGCUUUAAUUCAGUCAAACUUGUAAACCUUUGUACAUGUAUUGACUUUUAUUUGGAAUAAGCUGUGUAUUACUGGUGUGUGCUUUUAACUGUUCAGUUGUCAUGAAGAUAAAUGUGUUGACAUGCAAGCAAAGCAGUUAUGAAUUCAUCGUGCUUGUGUAAGCCUAAAAAGGAAAUAAAGUGUCAUGGAAAAUAGUCGCACGCACGAAGCCGCAAUGCAAAAGAUAUUUAAUAAUUUAUCAACAUUUUGACAUGGCAGUCAUCUUCCGCCUUCUCCCCCUGAGGAACACUGCCAUGUCGAAACAUUGGUAAAUUAUUAAACAUCUUUUGCGCAUCGUGGUUGCCUGUGUGUCUGUUUUCCUUUAAACUUGAAAGGUAGCAAAUGGACCUUGAGAUGGGAUUGAUUGGUCAAAAUAUUGAUACGGUCAAGUAAAAAUAUGUUUAUAUCAAUAUUUACAAAAUAAUAAAAAAUCUAAAAAAUGUUUGCUGCAUAAAAUUGUGUUUGGUGAGUCAAUUGAAGAUUGAUGUAUACUUAUGGCAACCAUUUUUUUUCUUCUUUUUUAUUAAUUGGUGUAUAUUUUAACAACAGUAGGCUAUGGGAUGUUGUCCUUGCAUGGUAUGUGCCUUGAAGGCAUCACCAGGAAACCCCCUCCACUGCUCUAAAUAGUUCUUCAUUCACCUUUAAAUUCAUCUAUCGAAUUCAUCAUUAGCCUCUGACGUUGGCUGGCCCCUAUGGGGUCAGAUCAGUCUCAAUAAUUGCAAAUGCACACACAGAUUCACAAAUGCAAACACACAGAUUUACAAAUGCACACGGAACAAUUCAAAAAUAUAUUCAAUUUACAAAUGCAUGCAGAAAGAUUCACAAAUACAUUCCAAUGCACACGUUAAAAAAAUUAAGAUUUAUAUAAAUGUAAAAGAAAAAUCCCAAAUAUAUUAAUGCAUUUCUAUGUGGAUUUGUCUAUUUGUUUGUGGAUUUAUAUGUAUUUAUUUGUGGAUUGCACUGCAUUUGUUUGUGGAUCGCGACACACUUUUUUAGAGACUCAAUCCGUAAAUGCAUUUUUUUAAACAUAGACCUAUCUAUAUUGACCUCAACAUGCACUCACAGCAGCUGCUGCUCCUCUGGGACCUGUGGCAUUAACCUUUGCAGAGGCUUGUGUUUGUUUGGACAGGUGUGCAAUUAUUUAUUUAUAGUGUACAUUUCAAGAAAGAUUUGUAUUCUUGCAUUUAUAUUCAACAUUUUUGUAUAUCAUUCCUUGUUUAUUCCUUUUGUUAUUUACUUGUAUGCUAUGCAUAUAUUGUGCUUGUGUAUAUAAAACAAAAACUGUAACCUGUCAAUUUGGGUGUCAA